rnacentral:rRNA from 1 species
CGGCGGACGGGUGAGUAACACGUGGAUAACCUACCUAUAAGACUGGGAUAACUUCGGGAAACCGGAGCCAAUACCGGAUAACAUGUUGAACCGCAUGGUUCAACAGUGAAAGACGGUCUUGCUGUCACUUAUAGAUGGAUCCGCGUCGCAUUAGCUAGUUGGUAAGGUAACGGCUUACCAAGGCAACGAUGCGUAGCCGACCUGAGAGGGUGAUCGGCCACACUGGAACUGAGACACGGUCCAG